rnacentral:rRNA from 1 species
GUCUACAGCCACAGCACUCUGAACACACCCGAUCUUGUCUGAUCUCAGAAGCUAAUCAGGGUCGGGCCUGGUUAGUUCUUGGAAGGGAGAAUCUAUAUCCCCAAGAUUGUUCUCAGCUUCAAGAAUGCCUUAGACA